rnacentral:lncRNA from 1 species
GCACAUUGUAAAUAUUACUUCAAGUUUAAGUUGUAAUUUUCUUUUCAUUGUAAUAGUUAUUUCAGUUGUAAAAUAACUCUGAUAUUGGUAAACGUUUAGUAUGAUUCCUCGUCUUUUAAACGUCUACUCCCGUCACUUGAGUUUUUGUUCAGAAUGCUAUUAUAGGGGGUAUUAGUCAUUCAAAAAUCUUUCGAGCUCAUUGGUGUCCGCCCCUUGCACCAACAAUUGUAAUUUUCUGCUUUCAUCAAUUGUAAUGUUCAGUUUUCAUCAAUCAAUGUUCAAUUUACUUUCAAUGUA